rnacentral:rRNA from 1 species
GCUACUGCUAUCGGGGUUCGAUUAAGCCAUGCGAGUUAAAUGUUCUUCGUGAACAUAGCGAACUGCUCAGUAACACGUGGAUAACCUACCCUUAGGACCGGAAUAACCCCGGGAAACUGGGGAUAAUACCGGAUAAGCCAUAGGCGCUGGAAUGCCCUAUGGUUCAAAGCUCCGGCGCCUAAGGAUGGAUCUGCGGUCUAUCAGGUUGUAGUGGGUGUAACGUACCUACUAGCCGACGACGGAUACGGGUUGUGAGAGCAAGAGCCCGGAGAUGGAUUCUGAGACACGAAUCCAGGCCCUACGGGGUGCAGCAGGCGUGAACACUUUACAAUGCGGGAAACCGCGAUAAGGGAACCCCGAGUGCCAGCAUCAAAUGUUGGCUGUCCAGAUGAUUAAAAAUCAUUUGUUAGCAAGGGCCAGGCAAGACCGGUGCCAGCCGCCGCGGUAACACCGGCGGCCCGAGUGGUAGCCGUUUUUAUUGGGUCUAAAGGGUCCGUAGCCGGCCUGAUAAGUCCUUUGGGAAAUCUGGCAGCUUAACUGUCAGGCUUCUAAGGGAUACUGUCAGGCUUGGGACCGGAAGAGGUAAGGGGUACUCCAGGGGUAGGAGUGAAAUCCUGUAAUCCCUGGGGGACCAUCUGUGGCGAAGGCGCCUUACCAGAACGGGUCCGACGGUGAGGGACGAAAGCUAGGGGAGCAAACCGGAUUAGAUACCCGGGUAGUCCUAGCUGUAAACGAUGCUCGCUAGGUGUCAGACACGGUGCGACCGUGUUUGGUGCCGCAGGGAAGCCGUUAAGCGAGCCACCUGGGAAGUACGGUCGCAAGGCUGAAACCU